rnacentral:rRNA from 1 species
UGAGCAACCUGCCCUUGGCUUCGGGAUAACUCCGGGAAACCGGGGCUAAUACCGGAUGUGAUGCGCCCGCGCAUGCGGUGUGUGUGGAAAGAUUUUUUGGCCAGGGAUGGGCUCGCGGCCUAUCAGCUUGUUGGUGGGGUGAUGGCCUACCAAGGCGACGACGGGUAGCCGGCCUGAGAGGGCGACCGGCCACACUGGGACUGAGACACGGCCCAGACUCCUACGGGAGGCA